ACUAUUUAGGCGGAUUAGCGCUUUAAGUUUAGACCUUAAAAUUAGGGAUACCAAGUAGUG
rnacentral:tRNA from 4 species